CAUGGCCACUACAUCUCCAAGGCACCGGACGCUUUUGAGGGGCAGGCCCUGGGGCGGGCGGGGGGCGUCCAAGGGGCCCCCCUUCCCCGCGCGGGGUCUCACUGGUCCAUGAGGAAAACAAGGCAGGCUUAUGGUGAAUUUCCAGUUGUUUCAGUUCUGGUCCUCAGAUGAGACAGAAGCAAAGAAAGCACAUCGUCAUUGAACAAGGUACUAACGUGAAGGGGUGGUACCUGCAGAAGUCCUGCUGGGAGCCCUGGGAUUAGAGGAAGUUGAGAUGAGUCGAAGGUCCCCCAGGCCUCCGCCACCCUCCCACCCCUUGAGGCUGAGUGACAUGUCUAAGGUCUCCAGAAGGUGUUGAAUAAACUCGUGCUGAUUGACUGACUUCUUAACCGGAGUCCUUGCUUCCUCAUUCCUAAGGGGGGUGCCUUUGGGAGAUGGGAAGAAAACACAAUUCAAGGACUUGUUUCUAACCUUGUGUUCACCUUUUAAAGACUGAUAUUCAUGGCAACUAGAACCGAUGUGAAACCGGACCAAUGGUUUUCUCAGAGUUGACAAUGGACCCAGAGUUCUUCCUGUUACUGGAGAGAAGGGGGCAUGCUGGGGGCAGGCUGAAUACCAGCUUCUGUUACCCACAAACCCACCAGAUGCCGUCUUUGAAAGGUUGCUGCCUACCUCAGGCCCUACAAAGUCUCAAUAUGAUGGGCUCUUUGUAAGCAAGCAAGGAGUCUGUAAUGUCCAAAGGAGCCCCAAAUGUAGAGUGUGAGGACUCCUGGGUUCACACCCUGCCUUCCUCUGAUUUCUCGGCCUGUGACUUCCCUGUUCAGGCCUUAUUUUCCCCACUUCUAACAUGAGGGUUUGCUUUAGAUGACAGUUUCAGGUCAAGCAUUCCAUGGUCCUUGGAACCUUUGCCUAAUGUUGGAGUUCUAAGGGCCGUAGAUUUAGAGCUGGAAGGUCAACUAGGCCAAUGCGCUCAUUCCACAGCUGGGGAAACUGAGGCCCAGAGGAGUGAAGCAACUUGCCCCUUCUCCAAGUCUCUGCCCAUUUUGUGGGUUCUGCUCCUUGACCUUGCCUCACUCUGCCUUGUAUUAAGUUUACUUGCGUACAUGGCAUAUCUCUUCCCAAACCUUGGCCCUUUGUGGGGAAAUACAAGCCGACUCGGGAUGGCAGCUCCCCGUUUCUCUUUAUUUUUUUGAUCCUCCACCACUGGGGGAUCAUCAAAUCAUCAAAAGGCAGAUGAUUACUGUUUGUUGCUUUUGGGCCCCACACCCUGGUGCUCCCCCUCGCUCCCUUUUCUGCUGCUCCUUUCAGCCCUGGAUCUCCGAACAACCAAACAGAUCAUGCGGUCUGGAGGCUAGGAUUUCAAACAGGUACUUAGCCUCUUUCAGAGAUUUUAUAGCCGGCCAUGUGGGGCAGCAGACCAGGGAAUAAAGAAGCCCCUUGCUAUCUAUGCC